UCUUCUUUCUUCUUCCUGGGCGUAUACCUUGCUUUGAUUUCCGUGCCUAUUUGGGUCUCAAACCAGACACAACAGACCCUGAUCUGAUUGAACCAUGGGAUUUAGCCUAAACUUGAGUUGGGUAGUGUGGAUCAGACCGUGUACCGGCCUAUUUGGGUCUCAAACCAGACACAACAGACCCUGAUCUGAUUGAACCAUGGGAUUUAGCCUAAACUUGAGUUGGGUAGUGUGGAUCAGACCGUGUACCGAUUCCACCCAUUUCUUGAAUUGGGUUGGGUCUGAGUUUAAGUGAAUGGGUUUUGUUAUGGUCUGAUCAGACCUGGUCUGGGUUGGGUUGGGGGUCUGUGUUGGGCUGAGUCGGGCCAAAUUGGAACUGUGGACUGGUUUGGGUUGGGCCCGAAAUUUGAUAUGAACCUGUUAUCCGGUUUGGUUCAAUUGGGCCUAAUCUGUUUUGGGCCACAAUUGACUUGGGUCUAAAGGAUUCUGAUUUUAGGGUAUAUGUUUGAUCUUGGGG
rnacentral:lncRNA from 1 species